rnacentral:rRNA from 1 species
GGAAUAUUGGGCAAUGGGCGAAAGCCUGACCCAGCGACGCCGCGUGAGGGAAGAAGGUCUUCGGAUUGUAAACCUCUUUCAGUAGGGAAGAAGCAAGUGACGGUACCUACAGAAGAAGUCACGGCUAACUACGUGCCAGCAGCCGCGGUAAUACGUAGGUGGCAAGCGUUAUCCGGAAUUACUGGGUGUAAAGGGUGUGUAGGCGGGAAGACAAGUCAGACGUGAAAACUCGGGGCUCAACUCCGAGCCUGCGUUUGAAACUGUUUUUCUUGAGAGUGGGAGAGGUAAACGGAAUUCCUGGUGUAGUAGUGAAAUGCGUAGAUAUCAGGAGGAACACCGGUGGCGAAGGCGGUUUACUGGACCACAACUGACGCUGAGACACGAAAGCGUGGGGAGCAAACA